GUUGUCUGCUCUGCGGCUGACCCUGGGGCCACAGGAUUGAGUCUGGCUUGGUCUUUGCUUUGUGAGCACCAUGGCUCUUGGGGGUGUGGGUGAGCUCAUGUGAGGCGUUUGUGGUGUAUUGGUCAGGGGCAGGAGAGAGGAUGGCCGUGGGUCUCCCAGGACCAGCUGCAGAAACCCUGGUUGACAUAGGGGCCAUCUUGGCCUGCAAGCCAGAGGCAGGUGUGCUGUGGUGCGUGGUCACUUUGCUGCCUUGACAUGUGGUUCUCUCAGUUGAUACAGAAAACACCGGUACGAUUUGGCAUUCAUUCACAAUAACUGGCAUCAAAAGAGACUGUCCUUAAAACAGGUGAAUAGAGUUUACCGUAAACGUGCAGUGUAUUUUAUAUUUCAAAAUGAACUUUUAGAAGCAGUCAGCUCCCCCCUCCCUUUCUGAAUAUUGUGAAAAAUGUCAGAAAAGGAGAGCUUGCAGUCUGAGGAUGACUCAUGAGUCCCCGACCUCUGUACUCAGGGCUCAGCUCCGACACCACUACCUCUUGACUCCCUCCCCUCCCUGCGAUUGCACCAGCAGCCCGUGCUGUCCCCGGCUCUCUUCAGGACCGUGACCUCACCCAG
rnacentral:lncRNA from 1 species